AACAGAACCCGCGAGCGUUAUCCGGAUUUAUUGGGCGUAAAGUGUUCGUAGGCGGCAUGGAAAGUCCGGUUUUAAACUCCUCGGGCUCAACCUGGGGACUGAACUGGAAACUUCCAAGCUAGAAGGCGCUAGGGGCUGUCGGAACGCACGGUGUAGGGGUGAAAUCCGUUGAUAUCGUGCGGAACACCAAAAGCGAAGGCAGACAGCUGGGGCGACCUUGACGCUGAGGAACGAAAGCGUGGGGA
rnacentral:rRNA from 1 species